GAGCUGUGAGAUUUCGGAUGGAUACACUUAGUGGCGGACGGGUGAGUAACGCGUGGGUACCUGCCUCACACUGGGGGAUAACAGUUAGAAAUAGCUGCUAAUACCGCAUAAGUCCGCAUGGAAAAAACUCCGGUGGUGUGAGAUGGACCCGCGUCUGAUUAGCCAGUUGGCGGGGUAACGGCCCACCAAAGCGACGAUCAGUAGCCGGCCUGAGAGGGUGAACGGCCACAUUGGGACUGAGACACGGCCCAAACUCCUACGGGAGGCAGCAGUGGGGAAUAUUGCACAAUGGGGGAAACCCUGAUGCAGCGACGCCGCGUGAGUGAAGAAGUAUUUCGGUAUGUAAAGCUCUAUCAGCAGGGAAGAAGUGACGGUACCUGAAUAAGAAGCCCCGGCUAACUACGUGCCAGCAGCCGCGGUAAUACGUAGGGGGCAAGCGUUAUCCGGAUUUACUGGGUGUAAAGGGAGCGUAGACGGCAAGGCAAGUCUGAAGUGAAAGCCCGGUGCUUAACGCCGG
rnacentral:rRNA from 1 species